AGAAGCCCCGGCUAACUUCGUGCCAGCAGCCGCGGUAAUACGAAGGGGCCUAGCGUUGUUCGGAUUUACUGGGCGUAAUGCGCACGUAGGCGGAUUGGUCAGUUAGGGCUGAAAUCCCAGGGCUCAACCCUGGAACUGCCUUUAAUACUGCCAUCUUGAGUAUGGAAGAGGUGA
rnacentral:rRNA from 1 species